UGCGCAGGCGGACUAUUAAGUCAGAGGUGAAAUCCCGGGGCUCAACCCCGGAACUGCCUUUGAUACUGGUAGUCUUGAAUACGGUUGAAGUAGGCGGAAUGUAGCAUGUAGCGGUGAAAUGCAUAGAGAUGCUACAGAACACCGAUCGCGAAGGCAGCUUACUAAACCGAUAUUGACGCUCAGGCACGAAAGCGUGGGGAGCGAACAGGAUUAGAUACCCUGGUAGUCC
rnacentral:rRNA from 1 species